rnacentral:rRNA from 1 species
UGCGUAGGCGGGUUUUUAAGUCAGAGGUGAAAGCCUGGAGCUCAACUCCAGAACUGCCUUUGAUACUGGAAGUCUUGAGUAUGGCAGAGGUGAGUGGAACUGCGAGUGUAGAGGUGAAAUUCGUAGAUAUUCGCAAGAACACCAGUGGCGAAGGCGGCUCACUGGGCCAUUACUGACGCUGAGGCACGAAAGCGUGGGGGAGCAAACA